GACGAACGCUGGCGGCGUGCCUAACACAUGCAAGUCGAACGCCCUUUUGCGCAAGUGAGAGGGAGUGGCGGACGGGUGAGUAACACGUGGGUACCUACCUUGAGGUGAGGAAUACCACCGAGAAAUCGGUGACAAGACCGCAUACGCUUGGCAACAAGCAAAGUCUCGCAAGAGACGCCACAAGAUGGGCCUGCGCCUGAUUAGCUAGUUGGUGAGGUAACAGCNCACCAAGGCGACGAUCAGUAGCUGGUCUGAGAGGAUGAUCAGCCACACUGGGAUUGAGAACGGCCCAGACUCCGUACGGGGGGCGA
rnacentral:rRNA from 1 species